CUGGGGCAGUUGCUCAAGCCAAAGAACCCAGGUCUCAUCAUAAAUUCAAGUACAUCCUAAGAUAGUUCCACCUCAUUCGAAAGAUAGUCAAAAGACGCGAUGUGAUCGUGGAGUGAGUUGACAUCAAGAACAAUAUAGCGGGCCCAUUCACUAAGACCUUGUCAAUGCAGCAGUUUGAUCACCAUCUUAUAGCAUGGGUAUCAAGUAUAGGGGCGAUUGGC
rnacentral:lncRNA from 1 species